rnacentral:lncRNA from 1 species
GAGUUAUGUGUGUGCACUAAUUACUAGUGUUAUGUUAUUUUGGCCACAUUAGUGCAUAAGUAUAGUUUUUAUUUUAAUUAGUGAGUGAUAUUACAUGAUUUAAUUUUACUACACAUUCCUACACUCACACACACAUUAUUUUAAUGAAUUUAGCAUGUGCUAUUUGCCCAGUGGGCAAGUGGAUAAUGGUGUAGAGAUUAGGGGAGAUAUGG